AUUGAACGCUGGCGGCAGGCCUAACACAUGCAAGUCGGACGGUAGCACAGAGGAGCUUGCUCCUCGGGUGACGAGUGGCGGACGGGUGAGUAAUGUCUGGGGAUCUGCCCGAUAGAGGGGGAUAACCACUGGAAACGGUGGCUAAUACCGCAUAACGUCGCAAGACCAAAGAGGGGGACCUGCGGGCCUCCCACUAUCGGAUGAACCCAGGUGGGAUCAGCUAUUAGGCGGGGUAACGGCCCACCUAGGCGACGAUCCCUAGCUGGUCUGGGAGGAUGACCAGCGACACUGGAACUGAGACACGGUCCAGAGUCCUACGGGAGGCGGCAGUGGGGAAUAUUGCACAAUGGGCGCAAGCCUGAUGCAGCCAUGCCGCGUGUAUGAAGAAGGCGUUCGGGUUGUAAAGUACUUUCAGCGGGGAGGAAGGCGAUGUGGUUAAUAACCGUAUUGAUUGACGUUACCCGCAGAAGAAGCACCGGCUAACUCCGUGCCAGCCGCCGCAGUAA
rnacentral:rRNA from 1 species